GGCUUUACAAAUAUAGUUUGGUUAAAGCGUUCCUGAUGAAGAUAAAUCAAGAAAGCGCUUCGGAGUGUUUCCCUUUCCUAUAUAAAUUAUGCCAAAUAUUCUCAAUUCUUCUUAUAAUUUAAACACCUCGUUAUUCUAAGUUCUUUCUAUCUAAGCACCUCGUUGUUCUCAAUUCUUCCUAUAUCUCUAAGCCCCUCGUUAUUCUCA
rnacentral:lncRNA from 1 species